rnacentral:rRNA from 1 species
GUGUCAGCAGCCGCGGUAAUACGUAGGGUGCGAGCGUUAAUCGGAAUUACUGGGCGUAAAGCGUGCGCAGGCGGUGAUGUAAGACAGAUGUGAAAUCCCCGGGCUCAACCUGGGAACUGCAUUUGUUACUGCAUUGCUGGAGUGCGGCAGAGGGGGAUGGAAUUCCGCGUGUAGCAGUGAAAUGCGUAGAUAUGCGGAGGAACACCGAUGGCGCAGGCAAUCCCCUGGGCCAUCAGUGACGCUCAUGCACGAAAGCGUGGGGAGCAAACAGGAUUAGAUACCCUGGUAGUCCACGCCCUAAACGAUGUCAACUGGUUGUUGGGAAUUUG